rnacentral:rRNA from 1 species
CAGAGACUGCAAGCGUUACUCGGAAUCACUGGGCGUAAAGGGAGCGCAGGCGGAAUCGUGUGUCGGAUGUGAAACCCGGGGGCUCAACUCCCGGACUGCGUCUGAAACUGCGAUUCUAGGGACUCGGAGGGGCCGGUGGAAUUCCUGGUGGAGCAGUGAAAUGCGUAGAUAUCAGGAGGAACACCAACGGCGAAGGCAGCCGGCUGGACGAGAUCCGACGCUCAGGCUCGAAAGUAUGGGGAGCAAAAAGGAUUAGAUACCCUUGUAGUCCAUACUGUAAACGAUGUCGACUAGGUCUUGGGGCAUUCGAACGCCCCAGGGCUCAAGCUAACGCAAUAAGUCGACCGCCUGAGGACUACGGCCGCAAGGCUA